rnacentral:miRNA from 1 species
UAUAGCGCUCUGGUUCUCAUG